UGGGGAAUAUUGCACAAUGGGCGCAAGCCUGAUGCAGCCAUGCCGCGUGUAUGAAGAAGGCCUUCGGGUUGUAAAGUACUUUCAGCGGGGAGGAAGGGAGUAAAGUUAAUACCUUUGGUCAUUGACGUUACCCGCAGAAGAAGCACCGGCUAACUCCGUGCCAGCAGCCGCGGUAAUACGGAGGGUGCAAGCGUUAAUCGGAAUUACUGGGCGUAAAGCGCACGCAGGCGGUUUGUUAAGUCAGAUGUGAAAUCCCCGGGCUCAACCUGGGAACUGCAGCUGAUACUGGCAAGCUUGAGUCUCGUAGAGGGGGGUAGAAUUCCAGGUGUAGCGGUGAAAUGCGUAGAGAUCUGGAGGAAUACCGGUGGCGAAGGCGGCCCCCUGGACGAAGACUGACGCUCAGGUGCGAAAGCGUGGGGAGCAAACAGG
rnacentral:rRNA from 1 species